GGGUCGAUGGCGUAGCUGGUUAUCACAUCUAUCUAACAUUUUUUGUUCACAGAAGGUCCUCAGUUCGUACUUGGGUUGAUUCA